UCAACAGUAAUAAAUCGUUUAUUGUUGUGACUGUUAAUCACUAGGUCGGCGGUUCGAGCCCGUCCGGGGGAGCCA
rnacentral:tRNA from 1 species